GACGAACGCUGGCGGCGUGCUUAACACAUGCAAGUCGAACGGAAAGGCCCUGCUUUUGUGGGGUGCUCGAGUGGCGAACGGGUGAGUAACACGUGAGUAACCUGCCCUUGACUUUGGGAUAACUUCAGGAAACUGGGGCUAAUACCGGAUAGGAGCUCCUGCUGCAUGGUGGGGGUUGGAAAGUUUCGGCGGUUGGGGAUGGACUCGCGGCUUAUCAGCUUGUUGGUGGGGUAGUGGCUUACCAAGGCUUUGACGGGUAGCCGGCCUGAGAGGGUGACCGGCCACAUUGGGACUGGAAUCCGCCCCCACCUCCUCCGGGAGGCGGAGGUGGGGAUUAUUGCACAAUGGGCGGAGGCCUAAUGCGGCACCGCCGCGUGCGGGAUGACGGCCUUCGGGUUGUAAACCGCUUUCGCCUGUGACGAAGCGUGAGUGACGGUAAUGGGUAAAGAAGCACCGGCUAACUACGUG
rnacentral:rRNA from 1 species